GGAUAUCAUAUUCUUGAAGGACAACACACCAAGGUAAUAGAGCAGAAUUAAACUUAAUAUGUACCUUUCUCUAGCUAGCACCAGCUUCGUCAUUGUCACAUAUGUUGUCAAGAAUAACUUGCCUCCUUGAUGUUAAGGCUUGGAAAAGGGCAUAAUCCUUCUCAUUCACCUGAAUACAAAACCAUCAGUGCACUGUACAUAGGGUGGAAUUUCUCAGAGAUUUGUUGCGACAAUAGAUAUAGGAAAGAGCUGCUACAGUCUGUUUGAUGGAAGAGUUCUCAAAAAAUUGAUCAGUCAGGCUACCAACCUGCGGUCUUGCGAUUGCAUCGUCAAGAUGCUGGAGCUCCAUCCGGUUACGCUUGUUGGUUUCUUCAAGUUCAAACAGUGCCUUCUGUAGAUUUAUGUGUUCCUGAACAUUUUCGCCAGUUUCCAGACUCAAGACAUUUAGCCAAGAUAGCUCAUUAUCUGCAGCCUUUUCAGUAGGUUUUACGCUUAACUGAUGCUCCUUGUCAACUAAUUCCUUUUUCAACUGGGAGACAUCACCCUACAAAGUGACAAGGCGACUUACUUUAGUAUUUUAUUUGGCCAACAAUUAGGUAAAACUCUAGACAUUUUUACAAGGUCAUUCAGAACUCUGCUUGGAAGUAUUGGUAUCAAUUCAAGGGCUCCAGGACAAAUUGUAGUUCAUGCCAGCUGUGAAACGAGCAGCACCUAUAGAACAACUAAAAAUCUUCAUUGGGUUUAUCGCAGUACAAAAAUGUGGAAAGAAAAAGGAGCAUGCAACUCACCAGAAAGCAGCAGCUUCACGGGGGAGCUUCAGCUGUGCGCACUUGGGGCAUCUGAAAAUAACGACCUGUUAGCAAACAACCUGAACAGAAUAGCUCGUCUAGAAAAGAAUAAUCAGAUGCGAGAGGAUGCGUCGGGGCGAGGCCGUGGGGAUGGGAAGAGGAUGGGCCGGGGCGAGGCGGUGGGGAGGGGGUGAGGAGGCGGCGUACGAGUGCUUGCGGGGGAAAGGAGACAGUGGGAAGAUCAGGCGGGGCCUCGCGCUAGCGGAGAGGAUGAACGGCAAGGGGCGGCCACCAUUGGAGGUACAUCGAGAGCUCAGCUCCACAAGAAAUGGAAGAGAGGGGGUGGCCAUCGUUGGAAUGGGGGGGGGUGACGGGAACAAAGUGAAGAGAUAAGGACAAUUUUUUUUCUUUGAGAAGAAGAUGAGGAGAACUUUUUUUUGAGAAGAAGAUGAGGAAAAUGCUCUCGAGGACGAUUUUAACAUUAUAAUUGACACUUAUUAACAUUAUAUUUUAACAUUAUAUUAACAUUAUAAUUACAUAAUGUAAUUAUGUAAGCAUUACAUUAUAUUUUAACAUUAUAAUUGACACUUAUUAACAUUAUAUUUUAACAUUAUAUUAACAUUAUAAUUACAUAAUGUAAUUAUGUAAGCAUUACAUUAUAUUUUAACAUUAUAAUUGACACUUAUUAAAAUUAAUGCCGCAUAAUGGCAAAACAAGUAGGUUAUGUACUUUUUUCUAGCCCGGUGUAACAUUGUUUCAGAUAGCUCUUUGGUCUUAUUUGACUACUGGUUGUGGUAGUGGUACAUAACACUCUGAUGUUGAAAACAUGGAUCAGGUUCUAUAGUAGCUACCUUUGAUUUAGAACCAGAGUUCAGUUGUGAUUAUAGGAUGUAAACUUUAUAUUAUUUUGCUAUCUUAUUUUGUUUGUGAAAGUAGCUGCAGCAAGUAGAAGUUUAGAUUGAUGCAAGCAAGUAAGCAACACUUUGAUUGGAAAAACUGUGUGUUGACAUAGGCUGAAGCAAGCACCUGUACUAUCUAUAUUUGUGUGAAUCUCUGUGUGUUGGUGCAACUAGCUGCAGCAGGCACCAACUUAACUUAAUGCUAGCAAUUACUUGAAACCUCGAUCUGCUCUUUCCGACUGGGUAAACAAGCCCCUCUUCGAUCUGUAUGCCUGAAUCUUUAGUUUGUGCAACUAGCUACUAGCAAGUAAUUAAAGCCAUGAUCUGCUCGUGCCGACAAAAUAAUGUUGGAAGGAACAUCCAGAUCACUCCACUAUGGGCCCACCCAGUAGCUUAUGCAUCCUAUAGUUAGCUUCUCAAGAUUAUAUGUCACUCCACUAUUUACGGUAUUGUUAUAACUCCUCCUCUUUGAUUGAACUUUGUGUUGAUUGCAUCUUUGCAAAAUCUGGAAUGUUGUUUGAACAAAGUAACCGUUGGAGUUUUAACUUCAAUUUUUGUUGUUGUUACACAAAAUUUUGCCUCCGUCGACUUUGUCUGAAGACCAUCAACCAUCGCCUAGACCUACUUCGCUGCAGGUAUCUCUUUUUCUUUGUGUAAAUUAUGAUGAAGCUAUGUUUGAUUUACAGUGAUUUACAACCAGGAUUUACUGAUGGUUAAACUAGAAAUUUAAAUUAAUUUGAGAAAGUAUUUAACACAAUUGAUCUAUUGCCAUAGACUCAAGCAAACACCUCUUCGAUUUGUACAUUUGCCAUGUUGUUUCCUUUAUCAAACUAUCUGCAGCAAGUAGUAGCUUGAAUUGAUGCAAGCAAGUAGUAGCCAUUAUGGCGGCAUGAUAAACUUGUAAUGUUCCAUCCAGAAUAUCUAGCAGCAAUAUAUAUGUACAGAAAAAAUGGUGAUCGUUUCAAUCUAUUAUAUGGUUCUAUAUAUCCAAAGGAAUUGACGCCGAUUAUUAUCCAAGAAAAGAAUGUUACCUGCCAUAGUGUGUCUUGCCAUACAAUACCGACAUAUUAUAUUUUAGAAAUGUGAUGUAAAUCUUAUUCGUUUGCAAAAAUAUGGAUGUACAGGAUGAAUGCGAACUCCGAAAAAUAAUUCUAGGACAACUGCUAACAUUCAACGACAACGAAUUUGAAGACAACAUACCUGCCGGUGUACUAGAGUUCCUCAGUUGUAUCAAGAAAACCAAAAUUAAAACUGCUAUGUAAAAUCUCCAGAUAUUUGUCUAAAUUGAUUCUAUAAGCUACUCUGGAAACUUUAUUAUUUUUUCAAGAUUUAUAUACUUCGUGCUAACUUCCAUUUUCUCUCAACAGGACAUGUGCUAUUAUGAAAAAGGAGUUUCUUUGUUGGAUAGCAACCCAUGCUGGUGGUUUCAGAUAUGAAGCUAAGAAAAGCGCGCCUCAUAAUUCAUUGGAAGUAAACCAAUAGGGUCAAUUAGAUAUCGUUGGCUGUAAAUGACAUGAGUAUUUAGCUUUCAUAAAAUCUACUUCCUUCGUCUCAUAAUUUAAGAAUGUUUUUUCUAAAAAGUUCUCGUAUUAUGGGACAUAUGUACAUAUGUACUCUUUAACAAUAAGCUAUGGAUGAGGAUGACCCUAAAUGUGCGUUGAAUUUAUCAACAUUGGUUUAU
rnacentral:lncRNA from 1 species